AGAUUUGUAUUUACUGGAUUGAGUUGGAGAGUUUUGUUAGUUGUUUAAUUUCAAUCAUAGACAUUUACGUAUUGUAUAUUUUAUCCACCUGUAACCUUGCAGAUACGAGAAGUUCUCCAACGCAUGUUUCCUUUUGGCAGGGGACUCUGCCAUGCUUACUGGGCUCCAAACUUCUGGGUGUUCUAUAUAAUGUUGGAUAAGGUUUUAGGAUUUUUGCUAAUGCGACUAGGUUUCAAUGUCCAAGCCCCAAAAGCCUCAUUCACUGGUGGUCUUGUCGGAGAUUCCUCGCCUUUCUCUGUACUACCCACGGUAACAACAUCUACUCUCUUGUUAUAUGUACCAUCAUCUCAAUCCCGUUAUAGUUGCUGACAUUGUGCUUAGUUGUUAAGUAAUUGUCAUUUAUCCAUACGUCCUUCAUUCUUGCCAGAAUAUUGGGUUUAAGGAUCAAUUGUUUUGCACUUCUUCUUAUAUCUUGUUUUCUUGAAUAUUAGAUAUUUGAUAAUCUAAGAGUUUAAUUAGUUUCAUUUGUUAAUAUAUUAACCUUUAAUUAUGUGAAUUACCUAAGGUAGUUUUUUUGAUUAGUUGGGCAAUAAAUGCAGAUCACACCUUUUAUAACGUUCAUCACAGUCCUCUUGGCAAUAUUACCAUGUUUGAUAAAGGCAUGGAGGAAUCCCCAACCAAGGAUGGUCUCUAGAUGGGUAUCAUAUGCCUAUACAUGUGGAUUCCUGUUUGGGUGGCAUGUCCAUGAAAAGGCGUCACUUCACUUUGUGAUUCCACUUGCUUUGACAUCCUUGAAAAGCGUUGAGGAUGCUAAGCAUUACUUCUUUUUGUCCAUAGGUAAGACAAAACGCUGUAACCUUUAUACUUUAAUUUCUUACCUUUAUUUUGAAAUUAGUAUCAGUUCUCUUUUCUGGAUUGAGCAUUUAUCCACUCAUACGAUGCUACCACAUCUAAGUUGUUUGAUAUGCAAAUAAAUUUGGAUCUCAUCUGUCUCUCAAAUAAUUGUGUUCAACUGUCCUGUACUUUGGUUAUAGUAUUAUUUAACAAUGUUGUUACAUGAAUGAUAUGAGUCUACUAAAGAUAUUUAUUGCUCAGGGCUAACGAAAGUUGUCUAGUCUAAUAGAGGAUAUUGAUUGCUGAAGGCUAACUCAGUAACUCUAGUUUCCCCCCGCCCCCCCCCCUCUCUGUCACACACACACACACACUCAGACUCACAAUCGUAGAUAUCCCACUUCUGACACUUGAAGGUUUGCUUUGUGUUAUUUUUGAUUUAUUCAUCAUUAUCUAAAGAAUGCAUAUGAAAUAAUUGAGGAAGGUACAGUUUAACUUUAGAAAUUGGCCCAGGGUGGUUACUAGUUAGUGCAAUAGAGAGUAAAGAUGUUUGUUGGUGUUCUACCCACAGCAACAGGGGCUUGUGAAAGUAAUGAAGCUGUUUAACGCCAGCCAACUUACACACAGGCAUAGUUGUGUAAAAGUAGUUCCAUAGGAUGUCAGAUAGUUAUCUGCUUGGGAUGAUUUUUGUUGCUGAUGUUGUUUGAUAGUAGCGGUAUUUUUAAUGUUAAUCUGGAUUGCAUGCAUUGAGCUUACUCGUGUUUCCAUUAUUACUAGUGCAGUAUCUUGCUACUCGCUGUUCCCUCUUCUGUUUGAAGCACAAGAAUAUCCUAUUAAAGUCGUGUUGCUGCUUCUACAUGCUGUUCUGAUGCUGUUUGGAUUUUCUGCAUUUUUCCCCAAGCCAAGCACUACAAGAGAUGCAGCAGUAGUCAAGGGAAGAGAUAACAAUACGGAAAGUCAUGCUUUCCGUAUUGGGUGGUUGGGAAAAUCGUACCUUGUUGGCUUAGUAGUGGUGGAGAUAUGGGGGCAAUUUCUGCAUCCUAUCAUUUUUGGUGAUGCCCUUCCUUUUCUACCUCUUAUGAUGAUUUCUAUAUACUGCGCGCUUGGGAUGUUGUACUCUUGGAUUUGGCAACUAACACAGAUCGUUUUGACCAAUUAAUUGAGGGCACAAACUUGUGUGCAUCAGGAUGUACGAUGCACUGGUCCUAGUUAAACCUAAUUAAGGUUCAUUAAUCCCAAAUUAGGAUCUAUCACUCACGAUUAGGAUUUGAUUAGGACCGGUGCCACUCGAUUGAGUUGGGAUCAUCUCAACUCUCAUAACUAACAAUUAACCAAGAUUAUGUUGUUGUAGGAGCACUUUUUUUCAGCUUACUAGGAACUUUAUAUUUCAAUGGACCUCAAUUGUUGACAUACACAUCUCGUUGCCUGUGCUUUUGAAAGAUUCUAAAUGUACAACACUUUUUCCUCUUCUAUUAUAUUCUACUUCCUUAUUUUGAUGAACGAGAAAGGCAAACAAUAUUGCACACCAACAUGGUGUCCUCUUCGGAAUUUCUUUAUUAUAAUCUUGUACUUUUGUUUUUCUUUGACUUGGGGGAGCAGUGGAAUUUGAAUGUUAGAUUUCAUUAUUCAUAAACAAGAGUUCGCAUCGUUUGAAUGUAUUCUCGAGAACAUCUGAUACUUUUGUUUGAUCAAUAGAGUUUGUGUUUUAAUAUUAUUUUGCAUUUAGCAUGCAUUAGUUUGAUAAAAUGUAAGAUGUAGUAAUUUUGUAUUGUAUUUUUUUUUUUUGAGGAAAUAUUUUUUUUGAUAGAUUAAUAUUGAAAUAUAUAUCUAUAAAAAGGACCAAUCAUUCAAGAGUGGUAGUAGGGCUGUGCAUCGGUUCAGAACCGAAUCGAACCGACCCAAUAUGUAAAAAUCGAAAUCGAACCGAUUGGUGUAGAAGUCGAACCGAACUGAACCGCCAAAAGCCAAAAACCGAUCAAAACCGAUCGGUUUCGGUCAGUAACCGAACCGAACCGCCAAGUCAUCAUCUAAGAUGGAACCAAUACUUAUUUCGGCAAGAGCACAUCUGAACUCAAGAUAAAUAAUACACAAAUUGAACAUAAACAUUAAAAGAUUAACCAUAACAUAAGGACUGGAGAUUGGUUGUCUCAUCGGUUUUCUCAAUUAGAUGAGAUACUACUGCUUCAGCACAAAUUUGUCAAACACUCAUCAAAUUAACAAAUCAAAAAUGAUAAAAUCAAUCAAAGAAGGGAUUAGGAGAGAGAAUAAUCCCUCCAGCCGACUCAUGAUGCACAAAUGAAGGCAANGAGUUCGCAUCGUUUGAAUGUAUUCUCGAGAACAUCUGAUACUUUUGUUUGAUCAAUAGAGUUUGUGUUUUAAUAUUAUUUUGCAUUUAGCAUGCAUUAGUUUGAUAAAAUGUAAGAUGUAGUAAUUUUGUAUUGUAUUUUUUUUUUGAGGAAAUAUUUUUUUUGACAGAUUAAUAUUGAAAUAUAUAUCUAUAAAAAGGACCAAUCAUUCAAGAGUGGUAGUAGGGCUGUGCAUCGGUUCAGAACCGAAUCGAACCGACCCAAUAUGUAAAAAUCGAAAUCGAACCGAUUGGUGUAGAAGUCGAACCGAACUGAACCGCCAAAAGACCAAAAACCGAUCAAAACCGAUCGGUUUCGGUCAGUAACCGAAACGAACCGCCAAGUCAUCAUCUAAGAUGGAACCAAUACUUAUUUCGGCAAGAGCACAUCUGAACUCAAGAUAAAUAUCCCCUCCGUCCACGAAAUGAGUACCCAUAUUUCUUUUUUCGUCCGUCCACGAAAUGAGUACCAAUUUCCCUUUUUGGCAAGUGUACCCCACACAUCUCUUUAAUUAAUACACUCAAAAAGUGGGACCCUUAAACUAUUCACACUACACUCCAUACAUUUCUUAAAACCCGUGCCGUCCACAAAUGGGUACUCAUUUCGUGGACGGAGGGAGUAAUACACAAAUUGAACAUAAACAUUAAAAGAUUAACCAUAACAUAAGGACUGGAGAUUGGUUGUCUCAUCGGUUUUCUCAAUUAGAUGAGAUACUACUGCUUCAGCACAAAUUUGUCAAACACUCAUCAAAUUAACAAAUCAAAAAUGAUAAAAUCAAUCAAAGAAGGGAUUAGGAGAGAGAAUAAUCCCUCCAGCCGACUCAUGAUGCACAAAUGAAGGCAACCUACACACAAAAGAAACACAAUAGAAUGAUGCGCUAAUGGGGCGUGAGGCGUCGAUGCGGCUGUUGUUGCUGCGUCGACGCGGGCUGCUGCUGCGGAGGGGAGGUCAGGAGGUGGCGCCUAUCUGCUAGCGGCGGAGGGGAGGCCGAAGAGGAAGAAGACCAGAGGUGGGAGGUGAAGUUCUGUNUCUUUUGUUAUUUUUUUCUUAUAUUAUGAUCCACGUGUAUGUGUCUGAGUAAGAAAUUGAAACAGCAUCGAAGCCCAUACUGCUACUUUCAGGGUUUGGUCUGAAUGGUUAAUUCGCUAUUCUUUGUUGUAUUUACUAGCUAUCGAGGAUGAGAUGUGGUUGAAGAUUUGUAUUUACUGGAUUGAGUUGGUAGAGUUUUGUUAGUUGUUUAAUUUCAAUCAUAGACAUUUACGUAUUGUUAUAUUUUAUCCACCUGUAACCUUGCAGAUACGAGAAGUUCUCCAACGCAUGUUUCCUUUUGGCAGGGGACUCUGCCAUGCUUACUGGGCUCCAAACUUCUGGGUGUUCUAUAUAAUGUUGGAUAAGG
rnacentral:lncRNA from 1 species